UCCCGUGGAGACAAAAGAAUAUAUGAAAUUCUGAUUCCAAUCUAAACGGCCAGAACUAGCAGCAUUGUUCCUCAUUUCUCGAAGCGUCGCCAUCGACUGGAUAACUCUCAGCCACCGUCGUGGUUCUCCGCCUGGAACCGAUGAUCGAGUUGGAGAAGCACACGACGAGGGAGCCGGAGUGAGCAUGGAGGGCGCACCACAGGCGACUCUGCGCCGCCACCGUGAGCACUGCUCUGUCGCCUACCAUCGAUGUCGGCCAUGGCAGUCGUUGCUCCGCAGCCUACCAUCGACGUCGACCAUGGUAGUCGUUGCUCCGCCGCCUACCAUUGACGCCGGCCAUGGCAGUCGUUGCUCCGCCACAUCUUGCUGCAUACUCCCGUUGAUGGGAACGCUCGACCUCCCGGUGCUCCCGCUCCCGUCCUUGGUGAGCGUGGAGGGCGCAUCACCCGUGGCUACGACAACAGUAGGUCAAGGCAAGUGGAGGUGGAGGCAUUGGCGCGGUAGUCAAUAGGUUAUUCAUUUUGUUGAGAUUGCCUGAUUGCAACAAAGUUGCAUCCAGUUAAAUUGGCAAUGUGGUACAACAACGAGCUUUAAUUAAGCUGUGCAUCCUAUGGCCAUCAUCAACAUUACAUAUGAUUUACCUUUUUCCUCCUCCUCUUCUUUUUUUUAAAAAAAACUUCACCAACUCAAGAUCCACACUGUUUCAUGAGUACAGAAAGUCAUUGGCUUCCAGGGGUAGCGUGGUCAGCCCCAAAAGAUUUGUGAUUACAACUCAAAUAUGAGCUUCAACAUGCUCUCCUGAAGCUCGAAGCAGCAAAAGGCUUCAACAACACAGUAAAAGCGGGUGGAAUGCAUUUUUUUCUUUGGAGAGAGACGAACUACGGGGAUUGAGUUCUUCAUGUGCGAAUAGAUUGCAAUUCAUAACAGUUCAUUGCUAACUGGUUUAGCAUCGUCUAUUCAGACCUGGCUUCAAGUUACUUAGAAACCUUACAGUAGAGGAGAUCACAGUGACCAGUAAUUGUACAACCUUUUUCUUUUUUAAUCCCUGUUCGAUUUAUUUCAAACCCAGUUUGCACUAUGUAUUUCGCUGAAGAAUAUGAAGUUAUUUUCAUCA